GCAAUGUUUUUUAAUUAGUUGGCGACAUUGUGCGAAGAAGAUUUGUCAUUCAUGACAUGUGGCUGUGAUUUCCUAUACCGAAUGUUUGUGGGAUAAUCUUCCUGUUGGUGUUAGUCACCAGUACCUAAAAUUUACUUUAAAAAUGAUGAUAAAUUUCUUAAGCAAAACAGUUUGAAUCAGUGAGGCAUGAAAUUUAUCAUCAU
rnacentral:misc_RNA from 1 species